UGCAGUCAAGUGCAGCUGCUACUAGAAAUUCUUCUGUCAAGCUUUUGGGUGUUUUGCAUAAAUUUGUUGGCCCAGAUAUUAAAGGGUUUCUUUCUGAUGUUAAACCUGCACUUCUUAGUGCACUGGAUACGGAGUAUGAGAAGAAUCCAUUUGAGCAGCUCCAAAGAGAACUAUUAAAUCAGCAGAACCUACAUCUGCAUCUUCUGGUGGACUAGAUGGCCUGCCACGGGAAGAUAUUAGUGGGAAGAUUACACCUACCCUGCUUAAAGGCUUAGAAAGUACUGAUUGGAAGGCUCGCUUGGAGUCAAUUGAAGUUGUGAAUAAAGUUUUGGAAGAGGCUAACAAGCGCGUCCAACCCAAUGGAACUGUUACAUU